ACGAGGCUAAGCUAGUGGGGGCAAAGUUUCAGUGCAUUCCGUUGAUGUAGACGGCGUGAAAACGGAAACAAGUAUGCCGUCUCACUGUGCUGCAUACAAUUACACACUGCGUCGUACGAUUGAGACAAGGAAACUUGGAAUGACUUUUCAUAGGUUUCCCAGAGACUAUGGGUUGAGGAGGAAUUGGAAGUUUGUCGGCUUAGACCUGGUGUCAUUCCAUCAGUGUUAAACUUCCCGGCUCAUCUUGGAAGAGUCUGUGCCAGAAAGACCACGACCAAGCAGCCUUGAGAUCUUAGGCAGCAUCUCCCUGAGGUCCCUCUCUAUCUCCCCACGCAUCCACCAACCACUGGAACACAUCUCCAAAGUUCUGCCAGGCCAGCUCAGCUUCCCCUCAGAAGAAGUUCCACCACCUGCCAGAUGAAGGAGCCUUUUGAGAGGCAGCUGGCAUCGUGAUUGGACUGUACUUUGGUCUGUUCCAAUCCAGCUUCAGCUCCAGAGACGGCAGGCGGGACGAGUCAACGGAGGCCGGGUGGACGAAGGCAUGCAGCUGAGUACAAUCCAGAAAACAACAGAGGAGGAGUGCAGUGGCCCAGGGCCAGAACAAACAUUAGCAUCAUAUGUCUCUUAGAAAACAUCAUAGUAUAGCCUUUGGGAUGAAAAAACGCCAUCAUAUACAUCGUAUAUUGUACAAAUAACAAGUCAAAGGAAAGAGACAUCAACUGUAGAAUUGUAGUAAUUGUGGGC
ensembl:lncRNA